AUUGAACGCUGGCGGCAUGCCUUACACAUGCAAGUCGAACGGCAGCACGGGAGCAAUCAUGGUGGCGAAUGGCGAACGGGUGAGUAAUAUAUCGGAACGUGCCCAGUAGUGGGGGAUAACUGCUCGAAAGAGCAGCUAAUACCGCAUACGAUCUGAGGGUGAAAGGGGGGGAUCGCAAGACCUCCCGCUAUUGGAGCGGCCGAUAUCAGAUUAGCUAGUUGGUGGGGUAAAGGCCUACCAAGGCAACGAUCCGUAGUUGGUCUGAGAGGACGACCAGCGACACUGGGACUGAGACACGGUCCAGACUCCUAGGGGAGGCAGCAGUGGGGAGUUUUGGACAAUGGGCGCAAGCCUGAUCCAGCAAUGCCGCGUGCAGGAAGAAGGCCUGCGGGUUGUAAACUGCUUUUGUCAGGGAAGAAAUCCUCUAGGUUAAUACCCUUGGGGGGAUGACGGUACCUGAAGAAUAAGCACCGGCUAACUACGUGCCAGCCGCCGCCGUAAGAC
rnacentral:rRNA from 1 species